GGCAAAACCCCUGGUGCUUCUAUCCUUCCCACCUGUCCUGUUCUGGCUGCUUCAGGUGUGGUGCUGUGGACCAACAGUGAUGCUGUUGCCUGAGAUCUGAGAUACACAACUACAGGCAGGACACAGGGACCUGAUGAAUCGGAACGUCCAUUUUUACAAGGCUCUGGAAGACCCAUUGGCACAUAGUCGAGGAAACACCGUAUCUGUUUUAAGGUUACAGCACGCUGUGAGGAAAAACUAAUGAUGCAAAAGCUGCAAGCAGAAAACCUUAUUUUGUGAUUUAUGCUUAUGAGCAGUCCCAGCACAUGUCAAGAGUAUGCUAUGGGACACAUUUCUAUUUCUACUGUAGAGAGGAUCUGUUGUGCACUGUAUGGAAGCAUCACCUGCCCAUGUAAAGCUGAUGGCUGCUCGCUGAGGCAGGAAGCAAAUAGGUGCAAUUGCGUUCUGGUAGGGAAGAGACGCUGGGAUAAUCGGGUGAGGGGACAGAAUUGCCUUUGACGGUGGAAUAGAAUAAGUUACAAAAGCCAGUCAGAACAAGCCCAAGCUUAUAAUUCAAUCUCAGGUGUCUUUAUUCUGGGAACAAAGAGGAAAAGCCUGCAGCUGCAUUGUUAUAUUUUAUAAUUAUAAUUAAGUUGCUUUUCCACCUUUAUUAUCAAAUUUAGUUGUAUAGUAAAUGUUUAAACCUGAUUUGGUAAAGGUCUUGAACUCAGUAGUGUGGCCCAGCCUGAAACUGGUUUUUGUUUUUCAAAUACAAACUCACAACGACUAGUAGAAAAUUUCAAUUCAAAAGGUUUUUAAUUCCCUUAAAUAUUUCUUACAUGUACUGUUCCACAUUGUGGAAAUAAACUAAGCAGAACAUUGAACGUUUUCGACCAAUGGCACAAAUAUAUGUAGACAAACCUGAACAGGCAACAGACUUAAAUUUUAAGUUUACAACUACAUAUGAACAUUUGAGCUGCACCAGAAUUCCAAACUGCUACAAAGAUGGUCCUUGGAAUCCAGCUGAAAAGAGGCCAGUUCUCCAUCCUUUGUGGUCACUGCAGCUGUACUCUGUAUGCACCUAUUAGCAACUUAACCUAAAGAAGAGAAUGAAUGUCAGUAUACAAAUCCCACCUUGUAAGAACAUCCAAGUUAUUGCUGUAUUUAACCGCACUAGUUAAUAUAUAUUAGGUAAGCAUUAUUAGAAUGGUCUAAGUAGUCCAGCUUCCUUUUUUCAUAUGGUGAGGGUAGUGGCAUUUUAGUACUCAAGAUUUGGAGUGCUCAGCGGGGAUGCCCCCAGACUUGCCAAGUAUGCUGUGCAUAGCUGCCUCAGAGAGCCAAAUUCCAACACGCAGACACAUCAGUUUGCCCAGCAUAAACGUUCUAGUACAAAGAGCUUGUCUGAACCAUGUCUGCUGACGUUUCCAGUGACGGAGGAUUGGUUAGUGUUACUAUUAUUAUGUGGGCAGUUACUGUGUAAAUAUGAAGCAAAGAUUUUCACCUUGGCAAAGGGUGCUUCCGUCAACCUUAUAAACAACUUAUUGGGGCCAGCAACAGGACUGAAUGAAUAAACAAAGUGACUGUCCUAGAGGGGAAAGAGAUAAGAUAAAGUCAGACUCAAGUCAGGGCUGUGACAUUUACAAUAGAGACCAGGAACUCAGAUCAGGGAACUGAGGGUUUUUUGUUUUUGCUUUUUUAAUUUUGAGAUAGGAUCUCUCUGUGUAGCCCACCAAAAGCCUCACCUUCAAGGCUUACCAGGUCUAAAGAGUUCUAGGCUACCUAGGGCUGAAAUAAAAACGACACAUGACUGCAUUCAAUACAAGGUGUUCAUUUAUUAGCCUCUGGAAGAGUUCCAGCAGCAGAGUGUGUUAGAGUGAUGGCGUGGCGUGCUACUAUUAUCUAUUAUAGCCUCACAUAUGGUAGCAUGAUUUAAAUAAACAUUCACAUGUUCU
rnacentral:lncRNA from 1 species